rnacentral:misc_RNA from 1 species
UAUUCGCCGAAUACGUUACAGUCAUUGAAAGAGGCGGAGAAGGAAUAUUUUUAAGAAACGCACAAUAUUUUAUUCUCAAGGAAACAAAACACAACCCGUGAAAUAAAUAUAAAUCUCUUGUAUGUUAACGAAAGAACGCUGGAUUCUUUGCAAAAUAUGGUUAAAUCUUGAUGCAAUCGGUGGCGAAAUAUCGAGGACGCCCCAAAUCGACGAUAGGAUCGGCGAAGGUGAGCAGGAGGUGGCGAAUAGGGUGGCAAAGGGGAAGAAACGGGAAAAAAGGAAGGAAAAGAGCUGGGUUUGGAGAUGGACGGGGAAACGUGACGGACCAGCGAGCAGUCAUCGGUUACAACGGAACUGGUAGCACGGAGGCUGGCUUGAAUUAUGAUUACGGAUUACGCGUCGUUGCAUUCCCUUUCUCCCCUGUAUUUCUCACCCUCUGCUUCUGUCCGCGGUUUUUCGCCUGACAGCCGCGCACCUCUCUUUC